rnacentral:rRNA from 1 species
GACGAACGCUGGCGGCGUGCUUAACACAUGCAAGUCGAGCGGUAAGGCCCUUUCGGGGGUANACGAGCGGCGAACGGGUGAGUAACACGUGGGUGACCUGCCCUCAGCUCUGGGAUAAGCCUGGGAAACCGGGUCUAAUACCGGAUAUGACUCCAUGACGCAUGUUGUGGGGUGGAAAGCCUUGUGCGGCUGAGGAUGGGCCCGCGGCCUAUCAGCUUGUUGGUGGGGUGAUGGCCUACCAAGGCGACGACGGGUAGCCGGCCUGAGAGGGCGACCGGCCACACUGGGACUGAGACACGGCCCAGACUCCUACGGGAGGCAGCAGUGGGGAAUCUUGCGCAAUGGGCGAAAGCCUGACGCAGCGACGCCGCGUGAGGGAUGACGGCCU